AGGAGACAGCAGUGACCUCGCGGAGGCCUUGGCGGGCAGCGGCGACAAUGGCAGGAAGUGUCCCUCCCCGCCAGCUGGGGAGUCAGGAAGGAAGUGACCGACUCGGAGCCUGGGCCCUGAGACCCCGGCCGAGCCUCCACGCCAAGAACACGCUAGAAGCUCUGCUCACCUGCUCAGGAGGGCAAACGUCCUCUGCUAGGGGGAGAGGUGGGGCUGAGAGCAGAUGCUCUCGCCACUGGGACCCCCCUCUUAGAGGCAGACCUCCUGCAAAUGGACAGCUCCUGCGUCAGGUCAGGUCAGCGGACGCAGAACGCGAACACGGCCAGGCUGAGCUGAGAAGACAGCUCCAGCUGCCCCCUGCCCGCCCUCCACCCCACCCCCACCUCCUGGAAGGAAGGACUCCGGGUUCCUCUGAAGCAAGGAGCUUCUCUAAAAAUACACCCUGCUCCUUAAGCCUUUUCCUCCUCCAGCCCCCUGCAGAGGAGAUGAGGAGUUGAUUUCCCUCUCGGAAGGGCCAUCUUGCUCCACACCACCCCCUGACUCUUGCCAUCCAGGGUCCAGUGGUUUCCAUGUCUGACCAGGCCACAAACUCCCAAGAAGAGCUCAAAGGCAGUUUUAAAUCUGAAUCUUCAAUAUGCCUCUUCGAUGACUUGGAAAAUUGCAAGAGGGUGAAAAAAACAAAGAAAAAAACCCAUCCUUUGAGAACAGAAGUCAGAAUUGCUUUCCUGAAAAAUUUUCGGAUCCCUAAAUGUUUUAGUCGGUGGACAUGAAUUAGUCACCAGAGAGCACUGAAUAGAGAUCCCGGUUCUAUACAGUCUCAUCAGUUAUCUAUUUUAUACAUCGUGUCUAUAAGUGUAUAUGUGUAUCAAUCCCAACUAUGCUUCAAUUAAAGCAAUGGUUAAAGUGAUACAUUUUACACUAUAUGUAUUUCACUACAAUUUUUUAAAAAUUAGGUUUUUUUUUUAAAAAAAGAAGAGGAUGGAGGAGAAGGAGGAGGCAUGGAUAUGUCUGUUUGUCCCCUGGGGGAGUGGGCAGCCAUCACGCAAGAAGUCCAACCAGCUGGAGAUCACUGAGCCUAUCCAGCCACGGGGAGGGGUCACUCAGAGAGGAACCCGUGCCUCAACUGAUACAGCCAAGAGCCUACACCCACCCACCAGCCACGGGAGCUGGGUCACGGUGGGAAUGCAUCUUCCACUCGCGUCAAGCCAUCCCAGCUGACAUCAGAGGAGCAGAGAUGAGCCGUCCCCAGCAAGCCCUGCCCGAAUUGCCACGCCAUCAACAAAUAGAUGGUGCUUUCAGCCACUAGGUUGGGGGAGUCCUCUGUUGCCGCAGCAGAACACCGACACAGCAGUCAGCCCUCUAAUGGGUUUGGGGGAAAUUUCUGUUAUGAAGCUCCUUCACGCUCUCACAUAUGAGUCACUAAGAGAAGUCAGGGCUUGAAUGAGUCUGAGGAAAAGACUGAUUUUCCACUCCCCAAAUCCCAGUGGAACAAACGCUGAAAU